CGGGAAGAGCUCAAAUUUAAAAUCUGGCAGCCUUGUGUUGUCCGAGUUGUAAUUUAGAGAAGCGUUAUCCGCGCUAGACCGUACACAAGUCUCCUGGAAUGGAGCGUCAUAGAGGGUGAGAAUCCCGUCUUUGGUACGGACUGCUAGGGCAUUGUGAUACGCUCUC
rnacentral:rRNA from 1 species